rnacentral:rRNA from 1 species
ACAGAGGGUGCUAGUGUUGUUCGGAUUUAUUGGGCGUAAAGGGAGUGUAGGUGGUGGAUCAAGUCAGUGGUGAAAUUUCGGGGCUUAACCCCGAACUUGCCUUUGAUACUGAUUCACUUGAGUAUGGAAGAGGUUGAUAGAAUUCCUGGUGUAGCGGUGGAAUGCGUAGAUAUCAGGAGGAAUACCAAUAGCGAAGGCAGUCAACUGGGACAAUACUGACACUGAAACUCGAAAGCAUGGGGAGCAAACAG